GAGUUUGAUCAUGGCUCAGAUUGAACGCUGGCGGCAGGCCUAACACAUGCAAGUCGAACGGUAACAGGAAACAGCUUGCUGUUUCGCUGACGAGUGGCGGACGGGUGAGUAAUGUCUGGGAAACUGCCUGAUGGAGGGGGAUAACUACUGGAAACGGUAGCUAAUACCGCAUAACGUCGCAAGACCAAAGAGGGGGACCUUCGGGCCUCUUGCCAUCAGAUGUGCCCAGAUGGGAUUAGCUAGUAGGUGGGGUAACGGCUCACCUAGGCGACGAUCCCUAGCUGGUCUGAGAGGAUGACCAGCCACACUGGAACUGAGACACGGUCCAGACUCCUACGGGAGGCAGCAGUGGGGAAUAUUGCACAAUGGGCGCAAGCCUGAUGCAGCCAUGCCGCGUGUAUGAAGAAGGCCUUCGGGUUGUAAAGUACUUUCAGCGGGGAGGAAGGGAGUAAAGUUAAUACCUUUGCUCAUUGACGUUACCCGCAGAAGAAGCACCGGCUAACUCCGUGCCAGCAGCCGCGGUAAUACGGAGGGUGCAAGCGUUAAUCGGAAUUACUGGGCGUAAAGCGCACGCAGGCGGUUUGUUAAGUCAGAUGUGAAAUCCCCGGGCUCAACCUGGGAACUGCAUCUGAUACUGGCAAGCUUGAGUCUCGUAGAGGGGGGUAGAAUUCCAGGUGUAGCGGUGAAAUGCGUAGAGAUCUGGAGGAAUACCGGUGGCGAAGGCGGCCCCCUGGACGAAGACUGACGCUCAGGUGCGAAAGCGUGGGGAGCAAACAGGAUUAGAUACCCUGGUAGUCCACGCCGUAAACGAUGUCGACUUGGAGGUUGUGCCCUUGAGGCGUGGCUUCCGGAGCUAACGCGUUAAGUCGACCGCCUGGGGAGUACGGCCGCAAGGUUAAAACUCAAAUGAAUUGACGGGGGCCCGCACAAGCGGUGGAGCAUGUGGUUUAAUUCGAUGCAACGCGAAGAACCUACCUGGUCUUGACAUCCACGGAAGUUUUCAGAGAUGAGAAUGUGCCUUCGGGAACCGUGAGACAGGUGCUGCAUGGCUGUCGUCAGCUCGUGUUGUGAAAUGUUGGGUUAAGUCCCGCAACGAGCGCAACCCUUAUCCUUUGUUGCCAGCGGUCCGGCCGGGAACUCAAAGGAGACUGCCAGUGAUAAACUGGAGGAAGGUGGGGAUGACGUCGAGUCAUCAUGGCCCUUACGACCAGGGCUACACACGUGCUACAAUGGCGCAUACAAAGAGAAGCGACCUCGCGAGAGCAAGCGGACCUCAUAAAGUGCGUCGUAGUCCGGAUUGGAGUCUGCAACUCGACUCCAUGAAGUCGGAAUCGCUAGUAAUCGUGGAUCAGAAUGCCACGGUGAAUACGUUCCCGGGCCUUGUACACACCGCCCGUCACACCAUGGGAGUGGGUUGCAAAAGAAGUAGGUAGCUUAACCUUCGGGAGGGCGCUUACCACUUUGUGAUUCAUGACUGGGGUGAAGUCGAAACAAGGUAACCGUAGGGGAACCUGCGGUUG
rnacentral:rRNA from 1 species